AGCAUCACACGAGGGAGGAAAAAAUCCAAGAAAAGAAUCAGAUCUACUAGUCCAAUAAGAUAAAAACAUUAAAAAAUAUAAACAAAAUAUUGGAGAUUCGAGUUUUUGUGGUGCUAUCGGUGCCAAAUGGAAGAGGAGAUGAAGAGGGUGGAGGAGGCAAUGGAGAGUGUGGUGAUGGUGUUGGUAAGAUGAGGAGUGGUUGGUGGUGGAAAAAGUUAAGGAAGAGAAAGAAGAGGUUAAAAUCGGUUUGGUUUUAG
rnacentral:lncRNA from 1 species